ACACCUACGGGUGGCAGCAGUGGGGAAUAUUGCACAAUGGGCGAAAGCCUGAUGCAGCAACGCCGCGUGAGGGACGAAGGCCUUCGGGUUGUAAACCUCUUUUAGUAGGGAAGUAAGGGAGCUUGCUCUUGACGGUACCUGCAGAAAAAGCACCGGCUAACUACGUGCCAGCAGCCGCGGUAAUACGUAGGGUGCAAGCGUUAUCCGGAAUUAUUGGGCGUAAAGAGCUCGUAGGCGGUUUGUCGCGUCUGCUGUGAAAACUGGAGGCUCAACCUCCAGCCUGCAGUGGGUACGGGCAGACUAGAGUGCGGUAGGGGAGAUUGGAAUUCCUGGUGUAGCGGUGGAAUGCGCAGAUAUCAGGAGGAACACCAAUGGGCGAAGGCAGAUCUCUGGGCCGUAACUGACGCUGAGGAGCGAAAGCAUGGGGAGCGAACAGGAUUAGAUACCCUGGUAGUCCAUGCCGUAAACGUUGGGAACUAGAUGUAGGGUCCAUUCCACGGAUUCUGUGUCGCAGCUAACGCAUUAAGUUCCCCGCCUGGGGAGUACGGCCGCAAGGCUAAAACUCAAAGGAAUUGACGGGGGCCCGCACAAGCGGCGGAGCAUGCGGAUUAAUUCGAUGCAACGCGAAGAACCUUACCAAGGCUUGACAUAUACCGGAAACGGCUGGGAAACAGUCGCCCCGCAAGGUCGGUAUACAGGUGGUGCAUGGUUGUCGUCAGCUCGUGUCGUGAGAUGUUGGGUUAAGUCCCGCAACGAGCGCAACCCUCGUUCUAUGUUGCCAGCACGUAAUGGUGGGAACUCAUAGGAGACUGCCGGGGUCAACUCGGAGGAAGGUGGGGAUGACGUCAAAUCAUCAUGCCCCUUAUGUCUUGGGCUUCACGCAUGCUACAAUGGCCGGUACAAAGGGCUGCAAUACCGCAAGGUGGAGCGAAUCCCAAAAAGCCGGUCUCAGUUCGGAUUGAGGUCUGCAACUCGACCUCAUGAAGUCGGAGUCGCUAGUAAUCGCAGAUCAGCAACGCUGCGGUGAAUACGUUCCCGGGCCUUGUACACACCGCCCGU
rnacentral:rRNA from 1 species